ACCCGCACAAGCGGUGGAUGAUGUGGAUUAAUUCGAUGCAACGCGAAAACCUUACCUACCUUGACAUGCCAGGAAUCCUGCAGAGAUGUGGGAGUGCUCGAAAGAGAACCUGGACACAGGUGCUGCAUGGCUGUCGUCAGCUCGUGUCGUGAGAUGUUGGGUUAAGUCCCGCAACGAGCGCAACCCUUGUCAUUAGUUGCCAUCAUUAAGUUGGGCACUCUAAUGAGACUGCCGGUGACAAACCGGAGGAAGGUGGGGAUGACGUCAAGUCCUCAUGGCCCUUAUGGGUAGGGCUUCACACGUCAUACAAUGGUCGGUACAAAGGGUUGCCAAGCCGCGAGGUGGAGCCAAUCCCAGAAAGCCGAUCGUAGUCCGGAUCGGAGUCUGCAACUCGACUCCGUGAAGUCGGAAUCGCUAGUAAUCGUGGAUCAGCAUGCCACGGUGAAUACGUUCCCGGGUCUU
rnacentral:rRNA from 1 species